GAUGAACGCUGGCGGCGUGCCUAAUACAUGCAAGUCGAGCGAACGGACGAGAAGCUUGCUUCUCUGAUGUUAGCGGCGGACGGGUGAGUAACACGUGGAUAACCUACCUAUAAGACUGGGAUAACUUCGGGAAACCGGAGCUAAUACCGGAUAAUAUUUUGAACCGCAUGGUUCAAAAGUGAAAGACGGUCUUGCUGUCACUUAUAGAUGGAUCCGCGCUGCAUUAGCUAGUUGGUAAGGUAACGGCUUACCAAGGCAACGAUGCAUAGCCGACCUGAGAGGGUGAUCGGCCACACUGGAACUGAGACACGGUCCAGACUCCUACGGGAGGCGGCAGUAGGGAAUCUUCCGCAAUGGGCGAAAGCCUGACGGAGCAACGCCGCGUGAGUGAUGAAGGUCUUCGGAUCGUAAAACUCUGUUAUUAGGGAAGAACAUAUGUGUAAGUAACUGUGCACAUCUUGACGGUACCUAAUCAGAAAGCCACGGCUAACUACGUG
rnacentral:rRNA from 1 species